rnacentral:rRNA from 1 species
UACGGAGGAUCCGAGCGUUAUCCGGAUUUAUUGGGUUUAAAGGGUGCGCAGGCGGGGGAUUAAGUCGGCGGUGAAAUUUUGCAGCUUAACUGUAAAAGUGCCUUCGAAACUGGUUUCCUUGAGUGUAGAUGAAGUAGGCGGAAUUUGUGGUGUAGCGGUGAAAUGCAUAGAUAUCACGAGGAACUCCGAUUGCGCAGGCAGCUUACUAAACUACUACUGACGCUCAGGCACGAAGGCGUGGGGAUCAAACAGGAUUAGAUACCCUGGUAGUCCCU